GAUGAACGCUGGCGGCGUGCUUAACACAUGCAAGUCGAACGAUGAAGCCCAGCUUGCUGGGUGGAUUAGUGGCGAACGGGUGAGUAACACGUGAGAAACCUGCCCUUAACUCUGGGAUAAGCCUGGGAAACUGGGUCUAAUACCGGAUAGGAGCGUCCACCGCAUGGUGGGUGUUGGAAAGAUUUAUCGGUUUUGGAUGGACUCGCGGCCUAUCAGCUUGUUGGUGAGGUAAUGGCUCACCAAGGCGACGACGGGUAGCCGGCCUGAGAGGGUGACCGGCCACACUGGGACUGAGACACGGCCCAGACUCCUACGGGAGGCAGCAGUGGGGAAUAUUGCACAAUGGGCGCAAGCCUGAUGCAGCGACGCCGCGUGAGGGAUGACGGCCUUCGGGUUGUAAACCUCUUUCAGUAGGGAAGAAGCGAAAGUGACGGUACCUGCAGAAGAAGCACCGGCUAACUACGUG
rnacentral:rRNA from 1 species